rnacentral:rRNA from 1 species
AUUGAACGCUGGCGGCAGGCCUAACACAUGCAAGUCGAACGAGGGGCGGACGGGUGAGUAAUGUCUGGGACACUGCUUGCUGGGGGGGGAUCACUACUGGACACGGUAUCUAAUACCGCAUACCAUCAGAUGUGCCCAGAUGGGUUUAGCUUGUUGGUGGGGUAACGGCUCACCAAGGCGACGAUCCCUAGCUGGUCUGAGAGGAUGACCAGCCACACGGGAACUGAGACACGGUCCAGACUCCUACGGGAGGCAGCAGUGGGGAAUAUUGCACAAUGGGAGCAAGCCUGAUGCAGCCAUGCCGCGUGUAUGAAGAAGGCCUUCGGGUUGUAAAGUACUUUCAGCGGGGAGGCGUUACCCGCAGAAGAAGCACCGGCUAACUCCGUGCCAGCAGCCGCGGUAAUUC